GCCGAACAGCACUUCAAAUAUCACUCUUCAGUUUGUAGUCGAGACUCUGUAGCUGUGCUGCAUUGAAUCCAUGCAAGCAGGUUCUAAAACAUGGGUGUGGAGAUUCCCACAUCAGAUUUAUCCUAUCGUUUGUAAUGAAUUGUUUCCUAUCUAAUGUUAGAGAUGUUAUAUGGUUAAGAAAAUGUAGAAAGAGAGCAUCUGAUAAGGAACAAAUUUGAUGUUUUUUAAGUUUGGGAACUAGAUAACAGACAUGUAGGAAGAGAGGGUCUGUCUUGAUUUCACGUAGGAGAGAGGGAUAAACAACAUUGCACUUAAAGGCUGUAACACAAAUCACACUGGUAGAGGGAUUAACGUGAUUUACUUGGGGAGAACAUCAUGGACUAUUUAAUACUUCAAGAACUAAAUUGGCAGUCAUUUCUUCUUCAAAAAUUUUCCAAGUCCCAUAUUUUCCACUCUUGGUAGUUUUUGCUCAAUUCUUCACACUUUGGCAUGACUUUUACUCAUUAUUUCAAUGCUUUCAUCUGAAUUUACUAAUAAAAAUCACGUAAUGACGACUGUCAUCUAAUAACUAGAAGAAAAAGCAAUACUUCUUAAACAUAGGUCAAACUAACCUUCAAUCUCAGCAAGUUUGUCAUUAAUGUGCUUUGAUGGAGUGCAUUCAGUCUCAUAUUGCCGGUUCAUUUGGGAUGAGGAUGAUUCCCUCUUUGGAGGAUACUCCUGAAAAAUGAAUUUAUCCAUGGAAAAGGAUGUAGCAUUUUAAUCAACUAUAAUUGCCAUUACCAAAAACAAAUGUGAAAUACAUAUCCACCCUUUGUGAUGACUUUUUCUAGCCACUGGUACAACUCCAUGAGAUUGUGGAAGACUGGCCAGAAAUAAACAGGCCAAAAGGCUUUCUCAAAAUAAUUAUCUUCCAACAUCCCAUAUUUUAGAGGGAAAAUAAACUAUAAGCCGUACAAUUUUGUUGGGAUUUAGGAAGGAAAGAGGGGGAAGGAUUAUGAGGUGAAAGGUAGGAGGAAAGGAGUAUCACUCCCUACCUUUUAUCAGUUAGUAUCCUUCAAAUCCACCAAUUUGGAGGAACUGAAAAGAUCAAUUGGGGGAGUAAUUUAGGUUUCAAAAACAUCUCUAAAUCCUUUCCCUACCGGUCUCUGUAUAAUACUCAUCAUAAUAAACACAAUAGUACUCAUAACCUUUCUCUUCCACUCUCCUCCAAAAUAACUUUCCCAAAUCAGGACGGCUUCACUCCAUUUUCGUCCCUCCUUCCCCCUCCAAAGCCCAUCCCUCCCGCCUUCCCUUCUAACUCAAACAAAGCCCAAGAGAAUGUCAGGUUUCUUUUCACAUAAACAAGGACAUUCAUGACAAUAAACACAUGCCGCAUUAGUAUAUAUCCAACAGUACAAGGGACAGUGUCAUGGACCUUAAUAGACUAAUGAUUUUAGGGAGAAUAACUUUGAAAAACAUGAAUUAUUUAACAAACUCAUGACUUUCAUCCUUUUGAGACAAUGACAAGACUAUUGCAGCAAGAAAUAGUGUAAUUAAAAGUAGUUUCAUACAUUGCAGAUAAUGAAAAUAUGUUUCUAUCAACAAUGUAUUCUCGGUAGAAAGGGAAGAUAUAUGCCAUCAAGAAAUUGACCGAGAAUGAAAUGCAUAUACACACCCUAGAUUCAUAAUAUACAAUGUCAACCAUGGAUCUUCAUUACAAAGAAAUGAUAACAUAUGGAACUGUUCAGGCAGAAGGAGUAUUUUGGGAGAUUCCAAAUCAAUCUCUGUAACCUCAGGGGAAGCAACAAAUAUCUCAGAACAAUUGAGUUAUUAUACACAUCUCUAAAUUUCCAGACAUAAAACAUAGGGGAGACAAAUAUAUUUCAACGAAAAAGGGACAUCGAAAACCACCCAUAUGAAAAAGGAGACAGUUAAUCAUAACACCCCCAACCAAAAACAGAAAAAAAAUCCCGGUUCAAAAUAGAAAUCCAAUAUCAAUUUAGACAGUAUUACCACAACAACUAACAGCUAUAUAAACUAUAAAAAACUUAAUCAUGUUUUACAGUAGUUGUACAAAAAAGCCAACAUCAAUAUUUUAACAUUCCGUAAAUCUAUGUAGAUGGGUGGAGAAGAAAAUCACCAAUAUUAAAAGGAGGCCGGUAAUCCCCCAACCAAAACAUAAAAAAGUCCCAGGUUCAAAAUAGAAAUCCUGUAUCAAUUUAGACAGUAUUACCUACCACAACAACUUCGAACAACUAUAUAAACUAUUAAAAAUUUAAUCAUGUUGAACAACACAACAAUCUCAACCAAAUCUUAUUCUACUAAAUGGGAUCGGCUACAUGAAUCGACUUCUGCCAUAAUAUUAUAUCUAAAACCAUGUUUCUAUCCAAAUCAUUGACCUCAAGAUCGUUCUUAAUAAAAGAUCGUUCUUAAUAACUUCUCUUAUAGUUUUUUUAGGUCUUUCUCUAACUCUAACUGUUUGACUCCUCUCCAUCUAAUAUACUUUUCUUACCAUAAAAUUUAUGGGUCUUCUUUCUAUAUGUCCAACCACCUCAGUCUGUUUUUCACUAUCCUUUCUAUUAUAGGUGUUACUCCAACACUCUUGAAUAUUUUCAUUUUUAAUCUUAUUAAGUCUAAUGUUAACACACAUCCAACGCAACAUCCUCAUCUCUGUACACUUUAUUCUCGUGUUAAUUCUUAACCGUCCAACAUUUUGUCCUGUACAAAAUCGAGAAUUUCACCGCAGUCCGAUAAAUUUUCCCUUCAGCUUAAGUGAUACCUUUGUGUCACAUAAAAUCCAUGAAACCCUCCUCUAUUUCAACCACCCCGCUUGAACUCGACCGAUAACAUCUCCUACUAUUUUUCCAUUGUUUUGUAUUACGGGCCCAAGAUAUUUAAACCGCGUGACUUGUGACAUGAUGUGGUUUCUAACUUUUACCUCUGGGUUAAAAACGCUUCUUCUUUUGGUGAACUUACGUUCCAUAUACUCUAUCUUACUUCUACUUAGGUGAAAGUCAUGCGUUUCUAAAAUUCGUCUCAAGUCUCCAACCUCUCCCUUAAAUCCUCCUUCGACUCUCCAAAUAGGACUAUAUCAUCUACAAAAAAACAUGCAUCUCAUCGCCAACUCUUGGACGUGUUCUAAGUACAUCCAAAAUUAAAGUAAAAAGGUAGGAGCAUAAGGUUGAACCUUGAUGCAAAUCUAUUGUAAUGGAAAAAUCGUUAGCACUACAAUCUUGGACGUGUUCGGAGUAUAUCUUGUCUCACCACGCCGUGUCCGCGCACUAGUCAAUACCCCUUCAUACAUAUUUUGAAUAGCUCGAAUAUAUGGAAUCCUAACCCCUUUCUUCUCUAGAGUUUUUCAAAAAAUCUCUAUAUAUACUCUAUCAUACAUCUUCUCUAAGUCAAUAAAAAUUAAGUGCAAGUCUUGUUGAUUAAACUGAUACUGCUCUAUCAUGUUGAGAAUGUAUCAAGUGUGAGUAGUGUGGAUAAAUAGUCCCACAUUGGUUGGUAAUGUGGAAACUUGAGCAUUUAUAAGUGAGAGAACCCACACACCUAUCACCUUAAGGUUUUGGGUGAAUAUGUGGUUUGUCUCUCACAAAGAUAUUGCUCUAGAAAAGAAGUCUCACAAUGUUCAAUGCUCCCUAGUGAAAAACUCCUCCAACAUAUACCUCAAAGAUUCUACAAUAAUACCAAAAAGCCAAACGGUGGAUGGGUGGAGAAGUGUUGAAUGAAAGAAGACAAACGACGCAUGUGGUUAGAAGUGUGUUUCAACUACGACAGUCAAAAUUUAACGUAUUCAUGCAUUCUUCACAUUUGUGGCCGUUGGAUUGAAUAUCUUGUAGUGUUGUUGGAAAACUAUGAUAUCGAAUUUUUAGAUGGAUUGGUUGGACCGGAAUUUUAGAUUGAUUGGUUGGACGUAUGUCUUACCUAAAGAUCUUAUAUCCCUUUUCAAAUGAUUACUUCGUUAGGGGGCGGGGUAGGACAAAGGUGGUCUUACUAUGAUUUACCAUUUUGUGGUGUGGUCAAUUUUCAAGGAUAUUAAGUUUUCUGCAACAAGUACAUAAUACCCUGAACCCUGAAGUGGAUCACCUAUCGAUUAAUGAGCCUAGCCAAUUGACAUCUAAAUAACCAACUGUCUGAAUAUGUCAUUUUUUGUCAUAAAUUAGACCUUUUCUUGGGACAUCUUUAAUGUAUUUCAGUAUCACAACAUCCAAGUGUUCUUGUAAAGAGAACUUAAGAAUUGACUUACUACUCUGACUACAAAUGAAAUGUUUAAGCAAGUUACUGGGAGGUAGUUUAAUUUGCCAACCAAUCUUCUUUAUCUCCUCGAAUAUGAUAAUGUCUCCCUCUUAUUAGGUAGAAAUAUGACAUUUGGAUACAUAAAAGUAUCAAUCAGUUUGACUUUCUAACAAAUUUGUCUCUUCAAGAAUAUCCAUAACAUAUUUCCUUGGUGAAAUUACAAACCAUCUUUGGAUUGAGCUACUGAAAUACCCAAGAAGUAAAGGAGCUUGCUAAAGUUUUUAGUGUGAAAGUGAUGGGACAAAUAUUGUUUCAAGUGGAGUAAGCUAUGUUGAUCACUACUAGUUAUGACAAUAUCAUCUACAUAAAAACAAGGUAAAGUGCAACCUUGAACUGAGUGGCGCUAAAACGCAGAAUGAACUGUUUUGCUUAAAAUCUAGCCAAAUUGUUGCACUACUGUGAUGAAUAUGUCAAACCAAGCUUAAUGAAGCUGUCUCAGAUGAUAUUAAGAUGUGUGAAGUCCAUAGACAAUGGUAUAACACUCCCGAAAAAACAAACCCCCGUGUUUUCUAAAUAUACACUUCCUCUUCAAGGUCACACCAUACAAGAACAACAUUUUUCAUGUCAAGUUGGUACAAAGGCCAGUGUCAGAUAGCUGCAAUUGAGAGUAAGAGUCUAACAGCUCAAAGAUCACUUCACUCCUUUGCUAAAGACACUUCACAAGUGAAAAAAUGUCACUUCAAUCAAGGCCAAAGAUUUAACUAUACUUCUUUGCCAAUAAAUGAGUUUUAAAACGAUCAAUCUUACCUCAAGAACCAACCUUCAUCUCAUAAAGCUAACGACAUCCCACUAAAGACUUUCCAGGGGCAGAAGAACCAGUUACUAAAUACCAUAAUUGAGCACACAUCUUGCCAAUCAUUACUUGUCUCCACUCUAGAUGGGAAAAAGCUUCAACUAAAGAUUUAGAAAUAGAAACAAAAGACAAAAAAAAAAAAUACACAAGCAUAAUACAAAGGAGAGACGUGGUGAUAACUCAACAAUAUAAUGCCGGGAUGUAAUGGGAGUAAGACAUAUAUACCUUUUGAAAUAGCAAUAAGUAGAUUCAGGGUCAGAUCCUUUAAAAAGGCGAAUGAGAGUCUGAAAUGGCAUCAGUUUCAGGAACAUAUGUAGGAACAUCCACAGCAUGCGGUUGACGACAACAUUGUACAUGCAGAGGUUAUGUCGCAUAAGGGUCCACGUGAGGAGGAUUAGAUGGGAUAGACGUAAGAGGUUCAAGUGGUACAAUAGGGGAUGAAACAUGCUGUUAUGGAUCCAUGCUGUUAUGGAUCCAUAUGAGUGAUUGCAAACAGAAGGUCGAGAGGCAUCUCAAAGUAUGGAACAAACUCUGGUGGGUCCGCAAGAAUGAGAGAAAGGGUCAUGAGGCGACUCAAAGUAUGGAACAAAACGACAUCAAAAUGUUUUGUUGAGGUGUAUGGACACAAGACAUUUGGUGAAGAAUGUCAUUAGACACCAUAAAAUAUUGAAAUUAAUAGGACAAAUAUUGACUGACAUUACUAGUGCGUAAAGUGAGAAAGAACAUUUUAAUUUCUUUAUAAAAUUUCUCAAAAAUAGAGAAUACUCAGAAUUAUUUUUCAUAUAUACAAUUUGAGAGAUCAUCAAUGGAAGUAAGAAGAUGGACCCUAAACAGCGGAGAGAACUAAAACAAAAGGGGACAAAGCAUGUUCAUUCACUAGGCUGGGAAGCUAAGCUAACUACGCGUGUGUUACCCUAAUUGUCGUGACCCACAUAUAAAUUUAAAAGAACAGACAACAGCUUUUGAUGUUUGAGGCGACCCAAUGACCUAAUUGACCAUGUACAGUAAAAGGAGAAUUUGUGGUAGAGCAUUACGUUGAUUUGUCAAAGUGAUAAUUCAGAUCCUUUGGCUCGCAUUUGACGCCAACCAUCUGUCCUGAAGCUCGAUCUAGCAAAGUAACAUUGCUAUUAGUUUAAGUAACAACACAAUCAUAAGAUUAAAUUAUCUUCUUUAAAUUUAUAUGUGGGUCACGACAAUUAGGGUAACAUAAAAAGAUUAAAUUAAACAGGUACAUAAAGGACAUACGAAACAAACAAGUGAGGAUUUGGACAGUGUCAAUUCCUUGGGAUUUUGUUUCAAAACCAUUUGUUAAGACUACCAAGUAACCAGAUGUAGCAAAAAAGGAGAAAAAAGCGUUAAUAAUACUAGUAAUGUGGUCAGACGAGUUUGAAUCCACUAGAGAAAAUGUUCAUAGUAAGUUGGGAGGCAUGAGGAAGAGGUAUUGUCAGAUGAGUUCAGAUGGAUCAACCCAAGCCGCAUUUAUAAAACAUUGGGGACGACCCAAGACAUCUAGGAUGGUAGCAAACCCCAAAAUGUGAACACAAGUGUCAUAGUUCUCACGAGGCAAUCCAUAAAAGGAACACAACAUGAAGAAAGUGAUGAAAGGCAAUCCAUAAGAAGAAAGGAGCAUGAAGAACGUGAUGUGUUGCCCAAGUGUCUUUUCUUUUCAGCUACAAAAUUGUGGCAAGAGGGGAGGAGAUCAUUGAAAUCAUGAAGUACAAAUAUGAUCAUCUAUCUUCUUUAAAGCAAUGAUGUUCAUUAGACUGUGACAAACUUCAUUGAGACAUUGAAUAUCGACAUUGUAAAGUACCUUCACCUGAUUCUAAAUUAAUUUGCAUGUAAGAUGAGGAUAGAAGAUUAGUUUUGAUGUUAGGAUGAAGUGUUGACUCAAUGACCCUGCACAAUUGAGCAUCAAUCUUCCUCCACUUUGGUCAUUCAACCUUCAAUUCAACCUUUCUAGUGAGAUGAUCCUGAUGCCCUUGACCAAUAACUCAUAAUUGAAUGUCAGAAACCAACAUUCAUAAUCGAAACCAUCCAAUUUUUUGGUAGAGGGUAAAUAGUCCGUGCUGCGCUGAACAGUAACGUGAAUAUUACUCUCUAAAAAAGGGAAUACAUUAGUAGAGAAGGGGCAAACUAGAAGGUCAACCAAGCAAGCACGGUUUAAAGCUUCCUUUUAAUAAACUUCUGAUACAAUGGUGAAUGAGAGAAAACGAGAAUCAUAUGAUGAAAAAUGUGUUUCAACUACACAAUAGGGUUUUUAACUACACAAUAGGGUUUUUAAUGAAGUGCAAAUAAUGACAUGAAUAAUUACAAUAUAUUAUACUCCUAAUUAAAUGAUAGCAAACCUUUAUUUACUCGAUUCUAUUUUAUUUUUAACAUGAAGCAAAUCUCAUGUUGAAGUUUUCCGACCAUGUAAAAAACAAAAAAUAAGUGUGCCAUGAAUGAAAAGGAUUGAAAAGGCCUUACUGUGCCAACUACCCCCUGAACCACUUAACAAGACAACUCCAAUCAAAACAUAUAGAAAAUAACACAAAAUUAUGUAAUAUGAAGUGCACGCACCUCCAUUGAUCUCUUCAUCAGUGGCUCCCACCCACUAUAUACAUGGACUUGGAUUUCUUGAAGUCAAGAGUUCACUCAUUCACUGCAUCAGUCAAGGUUAUCAAUAUCAAGAUCCUACCAAGAAUAGAGAGAUUGUGUCAGAAAUCCCAUUAUAGCUGAGUGAACUCUGCUAAGUAUUUUAAUAUCAUUGAGCAAAACAUUACUCAGAACUUAUACACCCUUCUUAUGUCAAUUAUUUUUAUAUUUUUCACCAAAUUUAAUUCUUAUUGCACAAGGAACAGAUCAGGAACCAUUCCAGUCUGACUGCGUCAUAGACGGCGAUUCGAGGAGUAAGAAGUCUGGCAACGUGACAACAGUGGAACCACAGUGGUCAGACUACAUUAGGGGAAUUUGGUUGUGCGAACCCGACCCUGAAAAUGCCAUUUUUGGAAUCACCUGAAAUAGACCUUAAUCACAAUCUCAAGGGAUAACCAUCUAUCAUGUAACCCCACCAAGUUCGUCUCAAAAGACGAUUUUAUGUGUGAUAUGACUCACUUAGUAUGAGCAAGAACGUUAGAUCGUCCAAUCUUACUAUUUAAUUCACCAUCUUAACAAUAGUGACUAAUAAAUUGGAACCGUUUGAUGUUGAUCGAAUGACUUGCAUUCCACCUUCAGGUAAUCAAAUUUUUAGGCAAUUCAGAAUAUAAAUCAUUCAAUUUUUCUUAAAUGGUUCCAAUUUAUUCACUGCAAUAAAUUCAUAAUAUUGACUAUAGGGCAUCUGUAGUAAUUAUCAAUACUUGCAUUCUUUUCCACUUACCUUUUCAGGUUUCCGCGUGUGCAAUAAAAAACAAUGCAAUGAAGUUGAAAAAAUAAUUUGCAUUAAAAGCAACAAGACAUGUUCGAGAAAAAGCAAUUAGUGUUCAACAAAAUCAUAUAUAUGAGAAAUAUGAAAUGAAAAAACAAGCAUCAAAAAUAGAUUUAUAAAACCGUUAUCAAAAUAUUACAAUUUCUUUUUAUAUUUGUUUUUUCUAAAUUGAAAGAUUAAUUUUGACAUCCUAUAAUAUAAACAUAUAUUAUUGAAUAUCAAAACAUAGUCGAAAUCACAAUUUUUUCAAAAAGUUGUAUUUCAAAAAUGAUUUUUGUGAAAAACUAUUUGAAAUAGCUUUAAAAUUAAGUGAUUUUUUGAAAUUUUGAUAUCCAAAAAAAGUUUCAAAUUUCAAUAAAAUGAUCAAAUAUCUAAAAUAAUAUUUUAAGAAUAACUAUUCAAACUAAAUUUUCAUUUGAAACUUGUAUAAAAAAUUUCUUUGUAAAUUUUUUUUACACAAAAUUAUAUAACAGUAUAAAAAUAAAAAGCCAAAACAAAUAGGCCCUAAAACGGUUUAGUUUCGUGCCAGAUUGUGCAGAUUACUUGCCAUACUCUAAGAGUGACAAAGUGUGAAAAGGCAACAAAUAGAGUAUAACAUUAAUUGAUAUCUAUUUAAAAGCCUAAUAUCAAACUUUGUUGGCAAAUAUUAUUAGGUUUUUGUACCAAAUUCAACAUCAUAAAAUCAGCUUUAUGGCAUUUAAUUAGACCCAAAAUCUAAUAUCAAAGCUUCUGAAAUUGGCUUCUAUAGUCAACUAACUGCCCUGCUUUUAAUAUGCGAACAUAAUUGAUUUGGCUUCUUAAAGUGAUAAUCUUAGUUUAUUAAAAGCCAAACUGCUAACCAUAGAUCACAAUUGCAAUAAUCAACUUUGAUAUCGUGUUAGGUUUUAGGACUAAUUAAAUCCCAAUAAAUUAGGUCAAAAACUUAAUAGAGAUUGCCAACUUAAACUACAUCAUAUAUGUAACAACAAUACCAAUAAAUAUAUGUGAUGGAUUCUCCUUUAAAAAACAAAGGGAUUAUUAAAAGCAUUGCCGUGGUUAAAUUACUCAAGAAUCGUCAUCUCUAUAUGGAUGAAAAUUGAACUGGUAAAGCGGUAAUUAAACAAAAUUCAGAUCUGCAAUUAAACUUAACAGAUAAAAGCAAUUGAAGAUUGAUGUGAAACAGAUAAAAGCAAUCGAAGAUUGAUGUGAAUCAGAUAAAUAGAAGUGAAGAUUGAUGUGUAAUAUGAUAAACCCUAGAUCUGUUAAACCUAUCAAAAAUUCUAAAUUCAAAUUCUAAGAAUAAGAAAUUGAUAGAGACGAAAGAAGUAAAACGGAUUGAACAUACAGAGAAGAGAAGAAUGUUUAGCUUGAUGGAUUGAAGGAAAUUCAGGGAAGCGUGCGAUCGGAGAAGGUGAUUUGGGAUGAAAAAACGUUGAUGUUGAUUGCUCCGGUGAAAGUCUUGUUUAUUGUUGACGUAGAAUCCCCAAUCGUUGUUCAGUGGCUGCAAGCUGCGCAUAAUGAAUUUUGUUGUGCUAAGUUACACUAACCCCUAUAUGUUACACAUUUCUCUCUCCUUUUAUUUUAAAACUCAACUCUCCUAAACCUUGUAAAAGUCAAUAUUUACAUCUUUAAAAAUCAUCUUUAAUAUUUGAAUCAUAUCAAUCAAACAAACUAGCAUCAGAUUAAAUCGACG
rnacentral:lncRNA from 1 species